rnacentral:rRNA from 1 species
GACGAACGCUGGCGGCGUGCCUAAUACAUGCAAGUAGAACGCAGUUGCGAACGGGUGAGUAACGCGUAGGUAACUGCCUCAUAGCGGGGGAUAACCAUUGGAAACGCUAGCUAAUACCGCAAACUGUGAGAUGGACCUGCGUGGGAUUAGGUAGGUGGUGAGGUAAAGGCUCACCAAGGCGACGAUAAAUAGCCGACCUGAGAGGGUGAACGGCCACAAUGGGACUGAGACCAGGCCCAUACUCCUACGGUAUGCAGCAGUAGGGAAUCUGCGGAAAGGGACGGAAGUCUGACCGAGCAACGCCGCGGGAGUGAAGAAGGGUUUCGGAGCGUAAAGCUCUGUUGGUAGAGAAGCGUUAACUAACCAGAAAGGGACGGCUAACUACGUGCCAGCAGCCGCGGUAAUAC